CCUACGGGAGGCAGCAGUGGGGAAUAUUGCACAAUGGGGGAAACCCUGAUGCAGCGACGCCGCGUGAAGGACGAAGGUUUUCGGAUCGUAAACUUCUAUCAGCAGGGAAGAAGAAAGUGACUGUACCUGACUAAGAAGCCCCGGCUAACUACGUGCCAGCAGCCGCGGUAAUACGUAGGGGGCAAGCGUUAUCCGGAAUCACUGGGUGUAAAGGGUGCGUAGGCGGUAGGGCAAGUCAGAUGUGAAAGCCCGGGGCUCAACUCCGGGAUUGCAUUUGAAACUGUCUUACUAGAGUGCAGGAGAGGAAAGCGGAAUUCCUAGUGUAGCGGUGAAAUGCGUAGAUAUUAGGAAGAACACCAGUGGCGAAGGCGGCUUUCUGGACUGUAACUGACGCUGAGGCACGAAAGCGUGGGGAGCGAACAGGCUUAGAUACCCCUGUAGUC
rnacentral:rRNA from 1 species